rnacentral:misc_RNA from 1 species
CCUCUGCCAUCGUGUGUACCUUUACCCCGAGCACCAACUCUUGUACCCCCUCCACAAUCAUAUGCUUACGAACGGAUCUUGGAAAGGAAUGAUUAUAGAAUGGAUCCACCUGUUGAACAUCAGGACAGACUAUUUCGAGAUUUGGAGCUGAGGCGUCGAGAGCAGAUUAAGCAUGCUAGGUACCCAUUCCAUGAGCAUCAUGAUAGAUGGUUUCUAGAUUCAGAAAUGAGGUAUCGGGGGGAGAUUGAACACCGUGAUCCCGAUGUUCUAUACAGGGACCAUGAUCUCUCAUAUUCUGCUUCCCAGCCAUCUGAAUACCAACCUUACACAAGGACAUUACAUCGUCCUGCUUCUCCUCCACAUGGUGUAGGUCUAUAUGAUCGGUGUAUUGGUGCUAGAUCCUGGUACUGAGAACUCAGAAGAUUUCUGAAAGUAAGAAACUCGUGGCAGCCACCUUGAAUUUGUGGAAAUUUCUCGAGUCCUGAGUCCAAAAUAUACCACUAGUUAUGAAGCCUGUCUACUUAGUUUCAGUUUUUGACUGUAUUUAGUGCAAAAUUUGGACUAUCUUUGAAACACGAAAUACUCUAGCUUAAAAGCAUCAUGUAAUAAUAUUCUUACCUGGAAUUUAUUUGGUUUUUUUUUUUUUUUUUUUUUUU